CAGCCGCCGCGGGAAUACGAGGGGGGCAAGCGUUGUUCGGAAUUAUUGGGCGUAAAGGGCGCGUAGGCGGUUUGACAAGUCUUAUGUGAAAUCUUCGGGCUCAACUCGAAGUCUGCAUGGGAAACUGUCGGGCUUGAGUAUGGGAGAGGUGAGUGGAAUUUCCGGUGUAGCGGUGAAAUGCGUAGAUAUCGGAAGGAACACCUGUGGCGAAAGCGGCUCACUGGACCAUAACUGACGCUGAGGCGCGAAAGCUAGGGGAGCAAACAGGAUUAGAUACCCGCGUAGUCCCUGUCUCUUAUAC
rnacentral:rRNA from 1 species